UCGAAUACGUUAUCUUACAGGAAUCUUUAAAGUUAUAUUUUUGACGUGUAUUGGAGAUGACCUCUAGGCGUCGUGUCGACAGAAAAUAAUUUUUAACUGAAAUUUAUUUAAUUCGUACAAUUAAUAGUUAACGAUCCACACUAGUUCAGUUUUCAGGAAAUUUACAACCUCCUAACUCCCUUGGAUACGUUUCUAUACGUUGUUUACCUACACAAAUUGCAGUUUGAAUCUAUACUCUUGAGCUUUAUUAUAGUUUUGUUUCAGAAAUGACAGAAAAUAAAAUUAUAUUGCAGAAAAUGAAAGUAACAAUUUUAAAGAUUUAC